rfam:Astyanax mexicanus Tnplaced_Scaffold4549, whole genome shotgun sequence.
GGCACAAUGUCCAAGUGGCUUGGCGUUGGUCUUGUGAACUGAAGCUCACAGGUUUGAUCUCUGUUUGUCCCU